UACGUAGGGCGCAAGCGUUGUCCGGAGUUAUUGGGCGUAAAGAGCUCGUAGGCGGCUUGUCGCGUCGGUUGUGAAAGCCCGGGGCUUAACCCCGGGUCUGCAGUCGAUACGGGCAGGCUAGAGUUCGGUAGGGGAGAUCGGAAUUCCUGGUGUAGCGGUGAAAUGCGCAGAUAUCAGGAGGAACACCGGUGGCGAAGGCGGAUCUCUGGGCCGAUACUGACGCUGAGGAGCGAAAGCGUGGGGAGCGAACAGG
rnacentral:rRNA from 1 species